UACGGAGGGUGCAAGCGUUAUCCGGAUUCACUGGGUUUAAAGGGCGCGUAGGCGGCCUGCUAAGUCGGACGUGAAAUCCCUCGGCUCAACCGAGGAACUGCGUCCGAUACUGGUGGGCUUGAAUCCGGGAGAGGGAUGUGGAAUUCCAGGUGUAGCGGUGAAAUGCGUAGAUAUCUGGAGGAACACCGGUGGCGAAGGCGGCAUCCUGGACCGGUAUUGACGCUGAGGCGCGAAAGCUAGGGGAGCAAACGGG
rnacentral:rRNA from 1 species